rnacentral:rRNA from 1 species
AGUGAACGCUGGCGGUGGGCCUAACACAUGCAAGUCGAACGGCAGCACAGUAAGAGCUUGCUCUUACGGGUGGCGAGUGGCGGACGGGUGAGGAAUACAUCGGAAUCUACUUUUUCGUGGGGGAUAACGUAGGGAAACUUACGCUAAUACCGCAUACGACCUACGGGGGAAAGCAGGGGAUCUUCGGACCUUGCGCGAUUGAAUGAGCCGAUGUCGGAUUAGCUAGUUGGCGGGGUAAAGGCCCACCAAGGCGACGAUCCGUAGCUGGUCUGAGAGGAUGAUCAGCCACACUGGAACUGAGACACGGUCCAGACUCCUACGGGAGGCAGCAGUGGGGAAUAUUGGACAAUGGGCGCAAGCCUGAUCCAGCCAUACCGCGUGGGUGAAGAAGGCCUUCGGGUUGUAAAGCCCUUUUGUUGGGAAAGAAAAGCAGCAGGUUAAUACCCCGCUGUUCUGACGGUACCCAAAGAAUAAGCACCGGCUAACUUCGUG